CCUCUUAGCUAGCUUUCUCUCCUACCAAACAUUUUCCAUCUUCCACUCCUUCCACCGCCACCAACCGUCGUCUGACUUCUCCAGCGUAAUCGUUUACAAAAUUGCUCACCCUUCGGACAAAGUUACGCCGGAUCGAAGAAACACACAACUUUUGCUUUAUGACUCGUGUCUGAAUAUUGCGAAUGAAUGUGUCAGGGAUUGGUGGACAUGAAGAAGCCCCCAGAAAUGAUUUCUGGCAACAUGACAUCAGUGCUUAGCAAUGUGGUCUAUUCGGCAUUGUUCAUGAGGUUUGCAUGGAUGGUACAACCACGAAACUGUCUGCUGCUAGCAUGCCAUGCUUCGAAUGAGACAAUACAGCUCUACCAUUGGGCAAGAGGUCAAGGGUAAGCAAGGUCUUCAUGAUUCACAUUGAGCCUAUGACAAACGUCAGUUAUUGGUACAUGUUUGGUAUGCUCAACUUUUUCCCAAGAUUUUCCAUACGUAUCGAGGAUCUUACCCUCAUGCCUAUGAUACAAUAUGUGCUGCAUACGGGUUUCGAAUACAGGUAUGUUAGGGAAAACGAAAAGUAGGAGCAAUAUAGCAUCGAGCUUAUUUCUUUUCUAUGCAAUUGCUAUUGAGUUUGCAAUCAUUUUUUUGGGUAUCUGCAUACCCUUUCACUGGCUAAUGCUGACUUAUGCUUACCAGUUACCAUCUUAGGGAUUG